UAUCCAUUCAGCCAGUCUAUGUCUUGGUUGGUGCAUUUAGUCCAUUUACAUUCCAAGUAAUUAUUGAUAUUAUGUUCCUAUUGCCAUUUUGUUGUUUUGGAUUUGUUUUUGUUGGUCUUUCCCCCUCCCUUCUCUUAUUCUCUUCUCUGUGGUUUGAUAACUAUCUUUAGUGUUGUGUUUGCAUUGCUUUUUCUUAUUUGUGUGUAUCUACUAUAGAUUUUUAGUUUGCAGUUACCAUGAAGUUUUGAUAUAGGAGUCUAUCUAUAUAAAAGAUUGUUUUAAGUUGUUGGUCUCUUAAUUGCAAAUGCAUCUCCAGUAUCCUGCAUCUGUACCCUUGUCUUAUGAUUUUUGGUUUUGGUAGCUUAUUUGUGUCUGGAUGACUUCCUACCUUUACUAUGUGUAUACCUUUAUCCGUGACCCUUGUCAUUUGCGGUAUUUUUGUUUCUAGUUAUGAUCUUUUCUUUUCCCCCUAGAGACAUCUCCUUAGUAUUUGUUGUCUCAGCCUUUCUUAGCUUUUGCUUGUCUGUAAAGCUUUCAAGUUCUCCUUCAAAUCUGAAUGAGCUCCUUGCUGGGUAGUAUAAUCUUGGUUGGAGGUUUUUUCCCUUUCAUCACUUUAAGUAUAUUGUGCCACUUCUUUCUAGCCUGCAGGCUUGCCCCUGAAAAUCAGCUGAUACCAUUACCAGGGUUCCCUUGUAUGUUAUUUGUUUCUUUUCCCUAGCUGCUUUCAAUUUUUUCUCUUUGUCUUUAAUUUUGGUCAAUCUGAUUAAUAUGCGUCUCAGAGUUUUUUCGCUUGGGUUUAUUUUAUAUGGUAUUUGUUGUGCCCCCUGGAUUUGAAUGAGUGAUUCCUUUCCCAUGUUGGAGAAGUUUCUAGAUAUUAUAUCUUCAAAUCUUUUCUCUGGUCCUCUCUCUCUCUCUCUCUCCUCCUUCUGGCACCCCUAUAUACAGAGGUUGGUGUGUUUAAAGAUGUCCCAGAGUUCUUUUAGACUACCUUUAUUUGUUUUCAAUCUUUUUUCUCUUUUCUGUUCCAGGUUAGUGAUUUCCACCAUCUGCCUUCUACCACACUUAUUCGUUCUUCUGCUUCCUAUAUUCUGCUGUUAGCUCCUUCUACUGAACUUUUCAUUUCAGUUAUUGUACUUUGUAUCUCUGCUUGCUUAACCUUUAAAUCUUCUAUUUCUUUGUUCAAUGUUUCUUGUAAUUUAUCAGUCUUUCCCUCCAGCUUAUUUCCAAGAUCUUUCCUCUCAUUAGUUUAAAGUCUUUUUCAUGGAGGAUGGUAAUCUCCAGAUCACUUAGCUAUUUUCUGGGGUUUUUUUCCUUGUUACUUUUUCUGAGUCACAAUUCUCUGACUUUUCAUUUUGUAUAGAUUUUUUGUUUUGUCUCCUUUUUGUAGGCAUUAGGGUUGUAGCCUCUCUUGCUUCUGAUGUACACUCCCUUGAGGCUGAAGUUGGUAUGGGGUCUUGCUGUAGGCUUCCUGAUGGAAGGGACUGGUGCCAGCCCACUGGUAAGUGGAGCUGAUUCUUAUUCUUCUGGUGGGUAGGGCUUUGUCUUUGGGUGUGAUUAGAGACAGCUGGGUGCCAAGGAGUCUCUAGGUAACCUAUUUCCUGAUGGGGCUAUGUUCCCACCCUGUUUGCUGUUUGGCCUGGGGCUUCUCAGCCUUGAUGGAUGGGGCCAGAUGUUUCCAAAAUGGCCACCUCCAGGGUGUUCACACUGAUUAUUCCUGAGACAUUUGCCUCUAAUGUCCUUACCCCACAAUGAGCCACAGUUACCCUAUUUUCCCAGGAAAUCCUCCAAGAUCCACAGGCAGGUCUGACCCAGAGUCCUAUGGAGUCUCUGCUUUUCCCUGGAACCUAGUGCACAUGAAAGCCUGUGCAUACCUUUCAAGCAUGGAGUCUCCAUUUCUCCCAGUCUUGUGCAGCUCCUGUGAACAAACACCACUGGCCCUCAAUGCCAAAUACUCCAGGGGAUCCUCCUCCCAGUGCCAGACCCCCAGGUGUGGGAACCUGACAUGGGGCUCAGAAUUCUCAUCCCUUUAGGUGAGAUUCUGCAAUAUAGUUACUUCCCAGUCUAUGGGCUGCCCACCUGACAGGUAUGGUUACUUACAUCGCACAAUCACCCCUUCUACCAUCUCAAUGUGGUCUCCUACUGUCUUUUCAUGUAGGAUAUCUUUAUUGGUAGUUUUGAGUCUAUUUCGUUAAUGGUUAUUAAGAAGUUGGCUGUAAUUUUGUUGCUUUCAUGAUAAGCUGAACUCCAGUCCUUCUACUCCACCAUCUUAAUCCAUCUCCUCCACACACUGUUUAAUUACAGGUCAGGCAAAUUUCUUCCCAAAUCUAGAUUGAGGGCCUUUUAGCCUGUAAAAAUGUAUUAAAUAAAUGAAUGCAUUAAAUGUUUCAUAUAGUUCACUUUUACUGGACAAUUUAAACUACAGAUAAGGCACUAUUUUUAUUAUUUGUUCGUGUAUAUUUUUCUUCUUUGCUACUCAACUGUUAAUUUUUAAACAUGCACUUAUUAUGGUAACAUACUGAAAACAUUUCCAAAAAGUGAGUUUUGACAAGAGAUUUGGAAAAGAACAGGUGGUCUUCUUGCUAGAUUACACGUGAAAAGAAUAAGAAGGGACAAAGUCCGAGUCAAGGGAACUAGGAGGCAGGUAUGAGAGACAGAAUAGCAGCAAAAAGUUCGCUGGAAGGAAAUGGAUAGAUAUGGGAAUAAAAAAAGGAAGCAGGCAACAAGAGAAAGCAGUCAGUAUAAGGGAGUCCCUGCUGGGAGACAUCUGCAGAAAACAGCUGUAGACACUUCUCUAUGACCGCCAGGAAGGAGGAUCCCUGCCACAGACACACACAAAAAGGCUUAACUACCUGUGGUAUUUGGUUGAAGGGUAUACACAAUGCUCAGUACACCAGCCCCUAAUUACUCUAUGACAACCUCAGCUCCACCCUCCCAGUGGAAAACAUAUGCCAAAGUAUUUGUAUUGAUUGAAACAUAAUGAAAUUCUUUGAUUCAUCUCUUUUCCCACAAUAAGCCUGCGUUAUUUCACCCUCGUUUGUCUGAGAAAAAAAGGAUAAAAUUUCUUUCAAAAGGGAGAUAGGAAAUGGCUCUGAUUCACUUAUAAGAAACUGUUUUGCUUUGCUUUCAUACCUGAGGUUAGAAAAAUUCUGCUAACACUGCCCUGUCACACUGGCAUUGAAUGGAACAGUAGGUAUGAAAAAGUACUAGCAGCUGGAAUGGUACACUGUCUAAAGAGUUAGCAUUGAUGAUGGCAUCAGUUACCUGGAAGACUGAACAAGUCAUUAGAAGAUCAAAUGUGAAAAGGAUAGUCCUCCCCACCUUGUCCCCCUUGAACAUCUUAUCCUCCUGGUGCUAUACAUUAUCCCAUUUACAGAUCAUUCAGUGCUAAUGUAGCAGAGAGCAAAUGUGGGGAAGUCUGAGACAGAGAGAGAAAUCUU
rnacentral:lncRNA from 1 species